AAUCUUAUAGUUUAUUUAAAAUAAUGUAUUGCAAAUACAAGGAAGAUAAUUAAUUAUUUAAGAUUU
rnacentral:tRNA from 1 species